CAGGCCGUUAGUUACGUUGUCAAGGAUGUUUGGAGCUGAAGUGAGGGGAAAAUGUCAGACACAUAGAAGUGCGGGUGGGGCAUUAAGGCAAAAAUUUUCACAAACAGAAGAAUGUCGUGACCGUGAGAAGCUGAAACGGAUAUUUUAGGCCUGUAUGUACCAGCCAGCUACCGCCGCCGCUGCUAGCUUAGCGGCGUUAGCUCCGUUAGCUUAGCGGCGUUAGCUCCGAUAGCCGUUAGCUUAGCAUCGUUGGCCCCGAAAGCCGUUAGUUUAGCAUCGUUAGUCCCUAUAGCCGUUAGCGGCAUUAGUUCCGAUAGCGGCAGUUUAGCAGCGUUAGCCCGGAUAGCCGUCACCUUCUCAGCAUUAUCCCCGAUAUCCCCGACGGCUCCGGGCCCAGCGGCUUCCCGACACAAGAGCCAGCGGAGGAGGGGUCGGCGAGGCCCGGUCCACCUGUCUGUCAUCCAGCCUCCAGUACCUUCCUCGGGGAUUCCUGCAGCUCAGCCGGGCUCUGAUUCCCCUGCUGACAGCACACACUCUGCCUCGGACUCUGGCAGUCCUUCACUCCGAGGAGUAGACUUGCAUUGCUGUCUUUGCAUGAAGUUACAUCCAUCCAUCCAUCGCAGUCCUCCAAAAUAAUCCCCAACUUCCUCUUGUCCUCCGUCACGGCAGCCAGGGGGCGCUACAUGUUGUAAGCCACGUAGAUGGGGUCCAGCUGGUCGGCCAGGAAGCCGUCGCGCAGGUGCAUCCUCUGCUUCUCGCCGCGGGAGUUGAUGGGGAUGACGCCGAUGUCGACCACCACCACCACGCCCACGAUCAGGUAGUGCUCCUCCAGCACCACGUUGGUGACCAGGGGAACCAGAUCCAGAGCCUCCUGCUCGGAGCCGUCCAGCUCCACCACCACCACCAGCAGGUCUGACUUAAUUGGCACAGCAGUUUCAGAGACCACCAGCUGAAGUUCGGGGCUGUUCUUACCCCCGCUGGCGUCGGUGAGUUCGGUCCUGCGGAGGAAGCCCAGGUAUCCGGUUCGAGCCCAGACGGUCUGA